UAAGAAAAAAGUUAUUUACUAGAUUAAUCUAGUAAACAAAAUAAAUAUAUAUUAUUAAAAAAAAAUUAUUUUAUGAGUAGAGUAAAAUUUGUAGUAAAUUAUAAAAAGAAAGUCCAAUUAAACUAAAGGACUGUUUGAUUAUAUAUAAUUAUAAUGAAUAGAAUUACUAUACUAUCGGAAGCAUAAAGUAGUUGGUGGUUCCGAUUUUUUAGCCCUUAGAUCAAUCCCAUUGAUCAUUUCUAACCAUUGGAUUAAUAUUAUUAGCCAAUGGGGACCAUUCAACCAUAGGGGACCACUCAACUCUAUGGGAACCGCUAUCAUCCCAACCGUAGAAUUUUUGAUCUAAGGGUUAAAAAAUCGAAAGCACCAACUACUUUAUGCUUCCGAUAGCAAAGUAGCUCUACACUAAUUAUAAUUGUAAUACAGUUGUAACUUUGAAUGUACACCUCUUUUUGUAUAUGAUAAAGAUAGUUUAGCUUGUAAAGUAUGAAUAGAAAGAUCGACUAUCUGCUGAAUUGAUCAUUGGGCCCACUAAAGAUAGAGAAAAUUUUCAAAAUUUAAAAGGUAAAAAAUCUACAGUAGAAUCGGCUACCUAAUCUUUCAAAAUUUUAAUUUUACUAUUCAGUAUUUUAAUUUAUUUGAUUUGAGUUAGUCAACGGUAUUUUAACUUUAAACUUUCAGUUAAUUACUUAUUUUAAUAAAUUUAGAGUGACAAGAAUUGUAUAAAAUAUACUAAACUUAUAAAGAUAAACGAUAUUCAAAUUUUAAAGUCAAAAUAUCAUUAACUGACUCAAAUCAAACAAAUUGCAAGAUUGGCUAGUAAAAUCAAAAUUUUGAAAGAUCGGAUAGCCAGUUGAAAAGAAUCCAUAGCUCAGAUAAGUUUU
rnacentral:lncRNA from 1 species